GAUGAAGAACGUAGCGAAAUGCGAUAAGUAAUGUGAAUUGCAGAAUUCAGUGAAUCAUCGAAUCUUUGAACGCACCUUGCGCCCUUUGGCCAUUCCGAAGGGCAUGCCUGUUUGAGUAUCAUGAACACCUCAACUCUUCAUGGUUUUCCGUGAUGAGCUUGGACUUUGGGGGUCUUGCUGGCCUAUGGUCAGCUCCUCUAAAAUAAAUCAGCUUGCCAGUGUUUGGUGGGUAUCACAGGUGUGAUAACUAUCUACGCUUGUGGUUUUCCACCAGGUAGCCUUCAGCAGUGGAGGUUCGCUGGAGCUCACAGAUGUGUCUCUCCUCAGUGAGGACAGCUCUUUGAAUGUUUGAUCUCAAAUCAGGUAGGACUACCCGCUGAACUUAAGCAUAUCAAUAAGCGGAGGA
rnacentral:misc_RNA from 1 species